ACGGUUACCUUGUUACGACUUCACCCCAGUCAUGAAUCACAAAGUGGUAAGCGCCCUCCCGAAGGUUAAGCUACCUACUUCUUUUGCAACCCACUCCCAUGGUGUGACGGGCGGUGUGUACAAGGCCCGGGAACGUAUUCACCGUGGCAUUCUGAUCCACGAUUACUAGCGAUUCCGACUUCAUGGAGUCGAGUUGCAGACUCCAAUCCGGACUACGACGCACUUUAUGAGGUCCGCUUGCUCUCGCGAGGUCGCUUCUCUUUGUAUGCGCCAUUGUAGCACGUGUGUAGCCCUGGUCGUAAGGGCCAUGAUGACUUGACGUCAUCCCCACCUUCCUCCAGUUUAUCACUGGCAGUCUCCUUUGAGUUCCCGGCCGGACCGCUGGCAACAAAGGAUAAGGGUUGCGCUCGUUGCGGGACUUAACCCAACAUUUCACAACACGAGCUGACGACAGCCAUGCAACACCUGUCUCACGGUUCC
rnacentral:rRNA from 1 species